UACGUAGGGUGCAAGCGUUAUCCGGAAUUAUUGGGCGUAAAGAGCUCGUAGGCGGUUUGUCGCGUCUGCUGUGAAAACUGGGGGCUCAACCCCCAGCCUGCAGUGGGUACGGGCAGACUAGAGUGCGGUAGGGGAGAAUGGAAUUCCUGGUGUAGCGGUGGAAUGCGCAGAUAUCAGGAGGAACACCGAUGGCGAAGGCAGUUCUCUGGGCCGUAACUGACGCUGAGGAGCGAAAGCGUGGGGAGCGAACAGG
rnacentral:rRNA from 1 species